rnacentral:rRNA from 1 species
UACAGGGGGUGCAAACGUUGCUCGGAAUCAUUGGGCGUAAAGCGCACGUAGGCGGUUCGUUAUGUCGGAUGUGAAAGCCCUUGGCUUAACCGAGGAAGUGCAUCCGAAACUGGCGAGCUAGAGUACUAAAGAGGAUCGCGGAAUUCCCGGUGUAGAGGUGAAAUUCGUAGAUAUCGGGAGGAACACCAGUGGCGAAGGCGGCACUCUGGGCCGGAACUGACGCUGAGGAGCGAAAGCGUGGGGAGCGGACAGG